AGAAUCAACGCUGGCGGCGUGCCUAACACAUGCAAGUCGCACGAGAAAGUGGAGCAAUCCACGAGUAAAGUGGCGCACGGGUGAGUAACACGUGAAUGAUCUACCUCCGAGUGGGGAAUAACUGAGAGAAAUCUUAGCUAAUACCGCAUAAUACCCACGGGUCAAAGCAGCAAUGCGCUUGGAGAGGAGUUCGCGGCCGAUUAGCUAGUUGGCGGGGUAAUGGCCCACCAAGGCGAUGAUCGGUAUCCGGCCUGAGAGGGCGCACGGACACACUGGAACUGAAACACGGUCCAGACUCCUACGGGAGGCAGCAGUGGGGAAUUUUGCGCAAUGGGGGAAACCCUGACGCAGCAACGCCGCGUGGAGGAUGAAAUCCCGUUGGGAUGUAAACUCCUUUCGAUAGGGAAGAUAAUGACGGUACCUAUAGAAGAGCCCCGGCUAACUUCGCGCCAGCAGCCGC
rnacentral:rRNA from 1 species